UUGGCCCCUCUAUGGCAAUGAGGGUUGCGGGUGGGCGGGAUGGCUCCUGUCUCCCCGUGGCUCUCGGCCUAGCUGGGGCCC
rfam:Hepatitis C virus (isolate H77) genotype 1, complete cds